rnacentral:rRNA from 1 species
CGGGAUCCUACAUAUGGAUAACUGCGGAAAUACUGGAGCUAAUACAUGCAACUAUACCCCAACGCAAGGCGGGGUGCAAUUAUUAGAACAGACCAAACGUUUUCGGACGUUGUUUGUUGACUCUGAAUAAAGCAGUUUACUGUCAGUUUCGACUGACUCUAUCCGGAAAGGGUGUCUGCCCUUUCAACUAGAUGGUAGUUUAUUGGACUACCAUGGUUGUUACGGGUAACGGAGAAUAAGGGUUCGACUCCGGAGAGGGAGCCUUAGAAACGGCUACCACGUCCAAGGAAGGCAGCAGGCGCGAAACUUAUCCACUGUUGAGUAUGAGAUAGUGACUAAAAAUAUAAAGACUCAUCCUUUUGGAUGAGUUAUUUCAAUGAGUUGAAUACAAAUGAUUCUUCGAGUAGCAAGGAGAGGGCAAGUCUGGUGCCAGCAGCCGCGGUAAUUCCAGCUCUCCUAGUGUAUCUCGUUAUUGCUGCGGUUAAAAAGCUCGUAGUUGGAUCUAGGUUACGUGCCGCAGUUCGCAAUUUGCGUCAACUGUGGUCGUGACUUCUAAUUUGCUGGUUUGAGGUUGGGUUCGCCCUUCA